rnacentral:rRNA from 1 species
UACGAAGGGGGCUAGCGUUGCUCGGAAUCACUGGGCGUAAAGCGCACGUAGGCGGCUUUUUAAGUCAGGGGUGAAAUCCUGGAGCUCAACUCCAGAACUGCCUUUGAUACUGAGAAGCUUGAGUCCGGGAGAGGUGAGUGGAACUGCGAGUGUAGAGGUGAAAUUCGUAGAUAUUCGCAAGAACACCAGUGGCGAAGGCGGCUCACUGGCCCGUUACUGACGCUGAGGCACGAAAGCGUGGGGAGCAAACAGGG